rnacentral:tRNA from 1 species
AAGAAGGUGACAGAGUGGUUAUGUGUCUGGCUUGAAACCAGAAGAUGGAGGUUCGAUUCCUUCCUUUCUUG